GCCGAGCUUAGUAAUGUGAGCUUGUAACCCAAAUGGGGGCAUUAAUGUGAUGGGACAUGGUCAUAGCCAUCUCGGUCGGGUCAUGGUUGGCUUAAUGCUGGCCCGCCCUAUCCAAGUUGGGAGUUGGUUCAUGUGGUUCAGGCGAAGGCAUGACUCUCAUGGACCCUAAAGUGGAGGGGACCGCGUGAGGCUGGUUUCACAGAGCAACGAAAACCUCCCGCCCCUGUCAGUGGAAGGAUAACGGGCUUGCGCCUUCUUGGCCCAUUAGUACUUAGUUGGCUUAGACCUUAAAUGGACCAUCACUUUU
rnacentral:SRP_RNA from 1 species